rnacentral:rRNA from 1 species
GAUGAACGCUGGCGGCGUGCUUAACACAUGCAAGUCGAACGGUGAAGCAGGAGCUUGCUCUUGUGGAUCAGUGGCGAACGGGUGAGUAACACGUGAGCAACCUGCCCCUGACUCUGGGAUAAGCGCUGGAAACGGCGUCUAAUACUGGAUAUGUGAUGUGACCGCAUGGUCUGCAUCUGGAAAGAAUUUCGGUUGGGGAUGGGCUCGCGGCCUAUCAGCUUGUUGGUGAGGUAAUGGCUCACCAAGGCGUCGACGGUUAGCCGGCCUGAGAGGGUGACCGGCCACACUGGGACUGAGACACGGCCCAGACUCCUACGGGAGGCAGCAGUGGGGAAUAUUGCACAAUGGGCGGAAGCCUGAUGCAGCAACGCCGCGUGAGGGAUGACGGCCUUCGGGUUGUAAACCUCUUUUAGCAGGGAAGAAGCGAAGUGACGGUACCUGCAGAAAAAGCACCGGCUAACUACGUGCCAGCCGCCGCAGUAA